rnacentral:rRNA from 1 species
UACGUAGGGUGCGAGCGUUGUCCGGAAUUAUUGGGCGUAAAGAGCUCGUAGGCGGCGUGUCGCGUCGGCCGUGAAAACCUGCAGCUUAACUGUGGGCGUGCGGUCGAUACGGGCAUCACUGGAGUUCGGCAGGGGAGACUGGAAUUCCUGGUGUAGCGGUGAAAUGCGCAGAUAUCAGGAGGAACACCGGUGGCGAAGGCGGGUCUCUGGGCCGAUACUGACGCUGAGGAGCGAAAGCGUGGGGAGCGAACGGG